AUUGAACGCUGGCGGCAUGCCUUACACAUGCAAGUCGAACGGCAGCACGGGUGCUUGCACCUGGUGGCGAGUGGCGAACGGGUGAGUAAUACAUCGGAACGUACCUUAUCGUGGGGGAUAACGCAGCGAAAGCUGUGCUAAUACCGCAUACGCCCUGAGGGGGAAAGCGGGGGAUCGCAAGACCUCGCGCGAUUAGAGCGGCCGAUGCCUGAUUAGCUAGUUGGUGGGGUAAAAGCCCACCAAGGCGACGAUCAGUAGCUGGUCGGAGAGGACGAUCAGCCACACUGGGACGAAGACACGGCCCAGACUCCUACGGGAGGCAGCAGUGGGGAAUUUUGGACAAUGGGGGCAACCCUGAUCCAGCAAUGCCGCGUGAGUGAAGAAGGCCUUCGGGUUGUAAAGCUCUUUUGUCAGGGAAGAAACACCGGCUCUAACACAGUCCGGGAAUGACGGUACCUGAAGAAUAAGCACCGGCUAACUACGUGCCAGCAGCCGCAGUAA
rnacentral:rRNA from 1 species